rnacentral:rRNA from 1 species
GUAGAGGAUGAUUCUGGGCAGCCACCGGUCUAAGUUCCUUGGAACAGGACGUCACAGAGGGUGAGAAUCCCGUAUGCGACCGGAAGGGCACCCUACACGUAUCUCCUUCGACGAGUCGAGUUGUUUGGGAAUGCAGCUCUAAAUGGGAGGUAAAUUUCUUCUAAAGCUAAAUACCGGCCAGAGACCGAUAGCGCACAAGUAGAGUGAUCGAAAGAUGAAAAGCACUUUGGAAAGAGAGUUAAAAAGCACGUGAAAUUGUUGAAAGGGAAGCGCUUGCAACCAGACUUGCUCGCGGUGUUCCGCCGGUCAUACGGCCGGUUCACUCGCCGCGUUGCAGGCCAGCAUCGUCUGGGGCCGUCGGAUAAGACUCUGGGAAUGUAGCUCCCCUCGGGGAGUGUUAUAGCCCACUGUGAUGCGACGCGUCCCGGGCGAGGUCCGCGCUUCGGCUAGGAUGCUGGCGUAAUGGUUGUAAGCGGCCCGUCUUGAAACACGGACCAAGGAGUCUAACAUCUAUGCGAGUGUUCGGGUGUCAAACCCCUACGCGUAAUGAAAGUGAACGGAGGUGGGAACUUUAUUGUGCACCAUCGACCGAUCCUGAUGUCUUCGGAUGGAUUUGAGUAAGAGCAUAGCUGUUGGGACCCGAAAGAUGGUGAACUAUGCCUGAAUAGGGUGAAGCCAGAGGAAACUCUGGUGGAGGCUCGCAGCGGUUCUGACGUGCAAAUCGAUCGUCAAAUUUGGGUAUAGGGGCGAAAGACUAAUCGAAC